UGCUUGGUCAUGAUGUGAAAUGCAAU
rnacentral:piRNA from 1 species